UGGCGGCAGGCCUAACACAUGCAAGUCGAGCGGUAACAUUUCUAGCUUGCUAGAAGAUGACGAGCGGCGACGGGUGAGUAACGCGUAGAAAUCUACCUAGUAGUGGGGGAUAGCCCAGAGAAAUUUGGAUUAAUACCGCAUACGCCCUACGGGGGAAAGCGGGGGAUCUUCGGACCUCGUGCUAUUAGAUGAGUCUGCGUCGGAUUAGCUUGUUGGUGAGGUAAUGGCUCACCAAGGCGACGAUCCGUAGCUGGUCUGAGAGGAUGACCAGCCACACUGGAACUGAGACACGGUCCAGACUCCUACGGGAGGCAGCAGUGGGGAAUAUUGCACAAUGGGCGCAGGCCUGAUGCAGCCAUGCCGCGUGUGUGAAGAAGGCCUUAGGGUUGUAAAGCACUUUCAGCAGUGAGGAAAGGGGUGUCGUUAAUAGCGCCAUCCUGUGACGUUAACUGCAGAAGAAGGACCGGCUAACUCCGUG
rnacentral:rRNA from 1 species